rnacentral:rRNA from 1 species
CAAGGAAUUUUCCGCAAUGGGGGCAACCCUGACGGAGCAACGCCGCGUGACGGAUGACGCCUCUUGGGGUGUAAACGUCUUUUGCCGAGGGAGAGAAUGGACGGUACUCGGCGAAUCAGGACCGGCUAACUACGUGCCAGCAGCCGCGGUAAUACGUAGGGUCCGAGCGUUGUCCGGAAUUACUGGGCGUAAAGCGCGCGCAGGCGGUCCGCGAGGUGUCACGUGAAAGCCCCGGGCUCAACUCGGGAGGGUCGUGGCAAACCGGUGGACUUGAGGCCGGUAGAGGUGGGUGGAACUCCUGGUGGAGUGGUGAAAUGCGUAGAGAUCAGGAAGAACACCCGUGGCGAAGGCGGCCCACUGGGCCGGAACUGACGCUGAGGCGCGAAGGCGUGGGGAGCGAACGGGAUUAGAUACCCCCGUAGUCC